rnacentral:rRNA from 1 species
GACGAACGCUGGCGGCGUGCUUAACACAUGCAAGUCGAACGGAAAGGCCCUGCUUUUGUGGGGUGCUCGAGUGGCGAACGGGUGAGUAACACGUGAGUAUCCUGCCCUUGACUUUGGGAUAACUUCAGGAAACUGGGGCUAAUAUCGGAUAGGAGCUCCUGCUGCAUGGUGGGGGUUGGAAAGUUUCGGCGGUUGGGGAUGGACUCGCGGCUUAUCAGCUUGUUGGUGGGGUAGUGGCUUACCAAGGCUUUGACGGGUAGCCGGCCUGGGAGGGUGACCGGCCACAUUGGGACUGAGGUACGGCCCAGACUCCUACGGGAGGCAGAAGUGGGGAAUAUUGCACAAUGGGCGGGAGCCUGAUACAGCAGCGCCGCGUGCGGGAUGACGGCCUUCGGGUUGUAAACCGCUUUCGCCUGUGACGAAGCGUGAGUGACGGUAAUGGGUAAAGAAGCACCGGCUAACUACGUG